rnacentral:rRNA from 1 species
CCUACGGUGCGCAGCAGUCGAGAAUCAUUCACAAUGGGGGAAACCCUGAUGGUGCGACGCCGCGUGGGGGAAUGAAGGUCUUCGGAUUGUAAACCCCUGUCAUGUGGGAGCAAAUUAAAAAGAUAGUACCACAAGAGGAAGAGACGGCUAACUCUGUGCCAGCAGCCGCGGUAAUACAGAGGUCUCAAGCGUGGUUCGGAAUCACUGGGCGUAAAGCGUGCGUAGGCUGUUUCGUAAGUCGUGUGUGAAAGGCGCGGGCUCAACCCGCGGACGGCACAUGAUACUGCGAGACUAGAGUAAUGGAGGGGGAACCGGAAUUCUCGGUGUAGCAGUGAAAUGCGUAGAUAUCGAGAGGAACACUCGUGGCGAAGGCGGGUUCCUGGACAUUAACUGACGCUGAGGCACGAAGGCCAGGGGAGCGAAAGGGAUUAGAUACCCUGGUAGUC